CACGUGGUGGGCCUUGCAAAAUGCACCUUGCUUGGGCUUGGGCCCUAAAAGUUGUGAAAAAACUGAUUAGUAUUAGCCCACUUACAUAUGUGCCCAUCAUUUCUCUUCUUGAAAAAUUAGGUCUAUAUACAAUAAAAGUGACGCCUUGCUGCUUAUAUUUUCUAUUUUGUCUUCUUUCCUUUCCUGUGAUUCUUGAAUCUUCGUGCCUUAUAUCUGGUAAGCACAUUGUCCAAUCCUGUAGCUAUUUUUCCUUCCUUCUGCACAAAAUCACAGCAUGAUAAUUUUUAUAUCUAUUUCUUGCCUUAGGAAUUAUACUUAUGAUGGCUAUGCAGGUUAGAGGUGAAAUUCUUUGAUUUAUGAAAGAUGAACAACUGCGAAAGCAUUUGCCAAGGAUGUUUUCAUUAAUCCAGAAUGAAAGUUGGGGGCUCGAAGAUGAUCAGAUACCGUCCUAGUCUCAACCAUAAACGAUGUUGACUAGGGAUCGGCGAAUGUUGCUUUUAGGACUCCGCCGGCACCUUAUGAGAAAUCAAAAUCUUUGGGUUUCGAGGGGAGUAUAGUCCCAAGGCUGAAACUUAAAGGAAUUGAUGGAAGGGCACCACUAGGAGUGGAGCCUGCGGCUUAAUUUGACUCAACACGGGGAAACUUACCAGGUCCAGACAUAGUAAGGAUUGACAGACUGAGAACUCUUUCUUGAUUCUAUGGGUGGUGGUGCAGGACCGUUCUUAGUUGGUGGAGCGAUUUGUCUGGUUAAUUUCGUUAACGAAUAAGACCGCAGCCUGCUAACUAGCUAUGCGGAGGUAUCCCUCCGUGACCAGCUUCUUAGAGGGACUAUGGCCUUCUAGGCCAAGGAAGUUUGAGGCAAUAAUAGGUCUGUGAUGCCCUUAGAUGUUCUGGUCCACAUGCACACUCCACUGAUGUAUUCAACGAGUCUAUAGCCUUAGCCGACAGGCCCGAGUAAUCUUCAAAAUUUCAUCAUGAUAGGGAUAGAUCAUUGCAAUUGUUGGUCUUCAACAAGGAAUUCCUAGUAAGCAUGAGUCAUCAGCUCGCAUUGACUACGUCCCUACCCUUUAUACACACCGCCCGUCGCUCCUACCAAUUGAAUGGUCUGGUGAAGUGUUCGGAUCGCGGCGACAUGGGCGGUUCGCAACCGGCGACGUCGUGAGAAGUCCACUAAACCUUAUCAUUUAGAGGAAGGAGAAGUCGUAACAAGGUUUCCGUAGGUGAACCUGCGAAGGAUUAUUG
rnacentral:rRNA from 1 species